GCCGCUCAGCCACAGCCCCUCAUCCACAGCCCCUCCGGCCACAGCCCCUCCGGCCACAGCCCCUCCCGCCACAGCCCCUCCGGCCACAGCCCCUCCGGCCACAGCUCCUCCGGCCACAGCUCCUCAGCCACAGGCCCUCCGGCGGCUUGGGGACGCUGGUACCACCAGCCCACGAGCAGCAAAGCCCCAGCGAUGGCAUCGGCACAGAGGUGGGCACAGAUGGACACAGAGGGCAGGUUUCUGCAGGUCUUCCUCAGUCUCACAGAGUGCUCCAGAGACAAGACUACUGCAGAAGAGCUCACCAUCACCUUGGCAUUCAAGUGCCUGUUUGAAGGCAAAAUCUAAUGGAGAAGACACCAUUUUCAUUGGGUAAUCUGUUGUGAUCUCAUCUGCAUGUGUUAUUAAAAUAGUAUUCAUUGCUAAUAAAGCUUUAAGUCUUGAA